CCCGCACAAGCGGUGGGGUAUGUGGUUUAAUUCGACGCAACGCGCAGAACCUUACCUAGACUUGACAUCCCGGGGAUUUUCUGGAAACAGAGAAGUGCUUUAGCAAUAAAGAACCCGGUGACAGGUGCUGCAUGGCUGUCGUCAGCUCGUGUCGUGAGAUGUUGGGUUAAGUCCCGCAACGAGCGCAACCCUCGCCUUUAGUUGCCAGCAUUCAGUUGGGCACUCUAGCGAGACUGCCGGUAAUAAACCGGAGGAAGGUGGGGAUGACGUCAAAUCAUCAUGCCCCUUAUGACCUGGGCUACACACGUGCUACAAUGGUUGGUACAACGAGUUGCGAGUCGGUGACGGCGAGCUAAUCUCUUAAAGCCAAUCUCAGUUCGGAUUGUAGGCUGCAACUCGCCUACAUGAAGUCGGAAUCGCUAGUAAUCGCGGAUCAGCACGCCGCGGUGAAUACGUUCCCGGGCCUU
rnacentral:rRNA from 1 species